CUGGCGGCAUGCCUUACACAUGCAAGUCGAACGGCAGCACGGGAGCAAUCCUGGUGGCGAGUGGCGAACGGGUGAGUAAAGUAUCGGAACGUACCGUAGAGUGGGGGAUAACGUAGCGAAAGUUACGCUAAUACCGCAUAUUCCCUGAGGGGGAAAGCAGGGGAUCGCAAGACCUUGUGCUCUUUGAGCGGCCGAUAUCAGAUUAGCUAGUUGGUGAGGUAAAGGCUCACCAAGGCGACGAUCUGUAGCGGGUCUGAGAGGAUGAUCCGCCACACUGGAACUGAGACACGGUCCAGACUCCUACGGGAGGCAGCAGUGGGGAAUUUUGGACAAUGGGCGCAAGCCUGAUCCAGCCAUGCCGCGUGAGUGAAGAAGGCCUUCGGGUUGUAAAGCUCUUUCGGCCGGGAAGAAAUCGCAUCGGUUAAUACCCGGUGUGGAUGACGGUACCGGAAUAAGAAGCACCGGCUAACUACGUGCCAGCAGCCGCGGUAAUACGUAGGGUGCGAGCGUUAAUCGGAAUUACUGGGCGUAAAGCGUGCGCAGGCGGUUUGUUAAGAUAGGCGUGAAAUCCCCGGGCUCAACCUGGGAACUGCGCUUAUGACUGGCAAGCUAGAGUACGGCAGAGGGGGGUGGAAUUCCACGUGUAGCAGUGAAAUGCGUAGAGAUGUGGAGGAACACCAAUGGCGAAGGCAGCCCCCUGGGUCGAUACUGACGCUCAUGCACGAAAGCGUGGGUAGCAAACAGGAUUAGAUACCCUGGUAGUCCACGCCCUAAACGAUGUCAACUAGGUGUUGGGAGGGUAAAACCUUUUAGUACCGGAGCUAACGCGUGAAGUUGACCGCCUGGGGAGUACGGCCGCAAGGUUAAA
rnacentral:rRNA from 1 species